rnacentral:rRNA from 1 species
CCUACGGGGGGCAGCAGUGGGGAAUCUUGCGCAAUGGGCGAAAGCCUGACGCAGCAACGCCGCGUGUGUGAUGAAGGUCUUCGGAUCGUAAAGCACUGUCGGGAGGGACGAAUAAGGGCCGGGUGAACAAUCCGGUCCGAUGACGGUACCUCCAAAGGAAGCACCGGCUAACUCUGUGCCAGCAGCCGCGGUAAUACAGAGGGUGCAAGCGUUGUUCGGAAUUAUUGGGCGUAAAGCGCGUGUAGGCGGUCUCGCAAGUCGGAUGUGAAAGCCCUCGGCUUAACCGAGGAAGUGCGUUCGAAACUACGAGACUUGAGUGCCGGAGAGGGUGGCGGAAUUCCCGGUGUAGAGGUGAAAUUCGUAGAUAUCGGGAGGAACACCAGUGGCGAAGGCGGCCACCUGGACGGUAACUGACGCUGAGACGCGAAAGCGUGGGGAGCAAACAGGAUUAGAUACCCCUGUAGUC